CUACGGGAUGCAGCAGUAAGGAAUAUUGCGCAAUGGAGGCAACUCUGACGCAGCCAUGCCGCGUGCAGGAAGAAGGCCUUAUGGGUCGUAAACUGCUUUUAUUUAGGAAUAAACCCCCGAACGUGUUCGGGGCUGAAGGUACUAAACGAAUAAGCACCGGCUAACUCCGUGCCAGCAGCCGCGGUAAUACGGAGGGUGCAAGCGUUAUCCGGAUUUAUUGGGUUUAAAGGGUGCGCAGGCGGGCUAUUAAGUCAGUGGUGAAAUCCCGGGGCUCAACUCCGGAACUGCCAUUGAUACUGAUAGUCUUGAGUUUGGUUGAAGUGGGCGGAAUGUAGCAUGUAGCGGUGAAAUGCAUAGAUAUGCUACAGAACACCAAUCGCGAAGGCAGCUCACUAAGCCAAAACUGACGCUCAUGCACGAAAGCGUGGGGAUCAAACAGGAUUAGAUACCCGGGUAGUC
rnacentral:rRNA from 1 species